rnacentral:rRNA from 1 species
CCUACGUGCGGCAGCAGUGAGGAAUAUUGGUCAAUGGGCGCGAGCCUGAACCAGCCAAGUAGCGUGAAGGAUGACUGCCCUACGGGUUGUAAACUUCUUUUAUAAAGGAAUAAAGUGAGGCACGUGUGCCUUUUUGUAUGUACUUUAUGAAUAAGGAUCGGCUAACUCCGUGCCAGCAGCCGCGGUAAUACGGAGGAUCCGAGCGUUAUCCGGAUUUAUUGGGUUUAAAGGGAGCGUAGAUGGGUUGUUAAGUCAGUUGUGAAAGUUUGCGGCUCAACCGUAAAAUUGCAAUUGAUACUUGCAGUCUUGAGUACAGUUGAGGUAGGCGGAAUUCGUGGUGUAGCGGUGAAAUGCUUAGAUAUCACGAAGAACUCCGAUUGCGAAGGCAGCUUACUAAACUGCCACUGACAUUGAUGCUCGAAAGUGUGGGUAUCAAACAGGAUUAGAUACCCCAGUAGUC